AAAAAAAUAACACAAAAGAGUGAAAGAAAAGAGUUUUUAUGGAUCCAGAUCCGCUUGAGGACGCUUCUCUGGCGGAUUGUGCGUUGCGGAUGAAGGGUGGAGGUGAACUAAAGGGUGGAGGUGAACUAAAGGGUGGGGUCGCUUCUCUCGGAGGGUAAAUGGAGGCGAGCUGGGUGGAACCAGCUGGACUAGUUGGUUCAGAUCAGAUAACGAGAAUAGAAGAGAAACAGAAACACGAGUUUCUCUCAAUCAGCUGUGCGACAAAAUGCGAUAAGAAGCUGAAGGUGGAGGCCAGAGGAAGGUGGUGCUGAGCCAAAACACCGAAGCUGGUGGAGGAUUAUUUGAAGCAAAACGAGCAGAAAGUUCAAAACUAAGACAUAAAGAAGAAAAAAAUCAUGAUACUCAAAAUGUCGCUGGUCUUCUUUAGAGGAAUCCAGGAGCGAUUUGCACGAAAACGAGUUGCGAUCAAAAGUGAACAAUGUUGCUACAAAA